UGUUCAGCAUAGCUCAGUUGGUUGGGCAUGAGAUUCUUAAUCUCGGUGCCGUGGGUUCAAGCCCCACACUGGGUAA